GCUGGGCACGGUGGUGCACACCUGUAAUCCCAGAGGCUCAGGAGGCUGAGGCGGGAGGAUCAUGAGUUCAAGGCCAGCCUCAGCAACUUAGUGAGGCCCUAAGCAACUCAGUGAGAUCCUGUCUCU
rnacentral:sRNA from 1 species